UACGUGUCUAUUCUACAGAGACCGCAACAAAAAGGAGCAGGCAUGGGUGAAAGUUGCCGAGGAGACUGGUCGACUUGAUAUCUUGCCACUGGAAACUCUUUCAGAAGCCUGGUCUUCAUCUACGGGAUUGGCUUCUCAACAGUGGUUGGCAUCAUACAUCAUCCAUCGCUGCCAUCUGGGAUUGACUGGUCACCGACUACAUGCCAGUACCAACUGUGGGAAAAUGGAGACAGAUUGCAGAAGACUUCCAUCAUCUCUGGGACUUUCCAAAUUGCCUCGGCGCAAUCGAUGGGAAGCAUGUGCAAAUCCAAGCCCCAGCCAACACAGGGUCACUUUUUUACAACUACAAGGGGCACUUUUCUGUUGUGCUGUUGGCUGUAGUGGAUGCACGCUAUUGCUUCCGAGUGAUUGACGUUGGGGCAUAUGGCAGGAGCAGUGAUGGAGGGACCCUAGCUGCAUCUGCGUUUGGCAAGGCCUUGUACUCCUAGACCCUUCAGCUCCCGGCAGAUGUUCCUCUCCCUGGUGCUGAAGAUCAGAGCCCAGUCCCUCAUGUGUUUGUAGCAGAUGAGGCGUUUCCACUGCGCAGGGAGCUGAUGAGACUAUACCCGGGUCAGAACAUCAACACCAGAGAGAGGAGGGUAUUCAACUACUGCCUGUCGAGGGCCAGGAGAAUGGUGGAGCGCACAUUCGGCAUUCUUGCUGCGCAGUGGCAGCUCUACCAUAGAGUUCUGGGGGUGUCUCCAGAGGUUGGCAGAGAAGGCUGUGAAAGCAACCUACAUCCUCCACAAUUUUCUGCACUGGGACACCAAGGCAGACCACCGCCAUGCCCCGCUCUUCACUGUGAAACAGUGUGCCGUCCAGCAUCUGGAUCGGGUUGGCAGCAACAAUGCUUGAGAGAAGCCCAGGCUGUGAGGGAGACCUUCACUGCAUAUUUCUCCUGUCCAGGUGGUGCUGUCCAGUGGCAAGACAGCAUCAUUUAAUCAGCCUUUCAACUGGUCUCCUGCUUUGCCCAGCCAUCUUCAGGUGACACUCACUGACACCUGAUUCACCGAAAGGAGGACUGGA